UACGUAGGGGGCAAGCGUUGUCCGGAUUUAUUGGGCGUAAAGAGCGUGUAGGCGGUUUGAUAGGUCCGUUGUGAAAACUCGAGGCUCAACCUCGAGACGCCGGCGGAAACCAUCAGGCUAGAGUCCGGAAGAGGAGAGUGGAAUUCCUGGUGUAGCGGUGAAAUGCGCAGAUAUCAGGAAGAACACCCGUGGCGAAGGCGGCUCUCUGGAACGCAACUGACGCUGAGACGCGAAAGCGUGGGGGAGCGAACAGGG
rnacentral:rRNA from 1 species